CUGCUUUGACUCUGUUUGCAAACUCUUGUUUCAUCGUUUAAGCAAUUAAAUCUCUCGAGUAGACACUGUCUCUUUAGAUGCGAGGGCAAAAUAGCACUUUAUGGACUUCCACAGAGGACAUCAUGUUUAAUACGGUUCCGGAAAAAUCCAGUCAGGAGUUGUUCACGGAGUUUUCACAAUAACUGCUUCUCAUGAACCGAAGCUGGAUUUGCGCGACGUCUCCUCCUGAAAGUUGGAUUACUGUGCACUUCUGGAUCACAGGCUAUUCGCAGCUGGACACAUCCUUCUACACUGUAUGCAAACAUGCAACAUCAUUACACACAGUACAAGGAGUCAGACUGGCAUAUGAGGAGCAAAGGAACCCAGGCAGUAGCAUCGUUUCACAAUGUUUCCAUCACCAUCAUCAGUGUAUGCCUUUGCCGUCCGUAGCCUGAGAUUUCAGAUUUGCAGCA